GCGGGGGUUGCAGAGCCUGGUCAAUGGUAUCCCUUGGUUAGUGGGUCCGCGGGUUCAAAUCCCGUCCCCCGCA
rnacentral:tRNA from 1 species